UACGGAGGGUGCAAGCGUUGUCCGGAAUUAUUGGGCGUAAAGAGCUCGUAGGCGGUUUGUCGCGUCGAAUGUGAAAUCCCGGGGCUCAACCCCGGGUCUGCAUUCGAUACGGGCAGACUAGAGUUCGGUAGGGGAGUCUGGAAUUCCUGGUGUAGCGGUGAAAUGCGCAGAUAUCAGGAGGAACACCGGUGGCGAAGGCGGGACUCUGGGCCGAUACUGACGCUGAGGAGCGAAAGCGUGGGGAGCAAACAGG
rnacentral:rRNA from 1 species